CCAAUUAAUUUAACUUGGGAGUCAGAACAUGGGUGAUAAGGUCCGUGUUCGAAAGGGAAACAGCCCAGACCACCAGCUAAGGUCCCAAAAUAUAUGUUAAGUGGAAAAGGAUGUGGCGUUGCCCAGACAACUAGGAUGUUGGCUUAGAAGCAGCCAUCAUUUAAAGAGUGCGUAAUAGCUCACUAGUCGAGUGACACUGCGCCGAAAAUGUACCGGGGCUAAACAUAUUACCGAAGCUGUGGAUUGUCCUUUGGACAAUGGUAGGAGAGCGUUCUAAGGGCGUUGAAGCAUGAUCGUAAGGACAUGUGGAGCGCUUAGAAGUGAGAAUGCCGGUGUGAGUAGCGAAAGACGGGUGAGAAUCCCGUCCACCGAUUGACUAAGGUUUCCAGAGGAAGGCUCGUCCGCUCUGGGUUAGUCGGGUCCUAAGCUGAGGCCGACAGGCGUAGGCGAUGGAUAACAGGUUGAUAUUCCUGUACCACCUAUA
rnacentral:rRNA from 1 species